UGGGGAAUAUUGGACAAUGGGGGAAACCCUGAUCCAGCCAUGCCGCGUGAAUGAUGAAGGCCUUCGGGUUGUAAAGUUCUUUUGGUGGGGACGAUGAUGACGGUACCCACAGAAUAAGCUCCGGCUAACUUCGUGCCAGCAGCCGCGGUAAUACGAAGGGAGCUAGCGUUGUUCGGAAUUACUGGGCGUAAAGGGCGCGUAGGCGGUUUGACAAGUCAGAUGUGAAAGCCCAAGGCUUAACCUUGGAAUUGCGUUUGAGACUGUCUUUCUUGAAUUCGGGAGAGGUGAGUGGAAUUCCCAGUGUAGAGGUGAAAUUCGUAGAGAUUGGGAAGAACACCGGUGGCGAAGGCGGCUCACUGGACCGAUAUUGACGCUGAGGCGCGAAAGUGUGGGGAGCAAACA
rnacentral:rRNA from 1 species